GGGCGGGGAUGGCGCGGCUGGGUCCGGAGCGCGCGCCGUUGGUUGGUGCGGCGUGACGGGCGCGGCGCGGGCGGCGCCGUUGGUUGGUGCGCGGCUGGAGGGCGCGGCGCUGGCGGCGCCGAUGGAUGGGCAGGGCCGGCCGGGCCAGGCCCUGGCCAUGCUGCUGUGCCUGGGCAUGACAGCGGCGCUGGCCCUGGGCUGUCUGCACUGCGACCCCAAUUUCUCGGAGAAGUUCUCCUUCUAUCGCCACCACGUGAACCUCAAGUCCUGGUGGGUGGGUGACAUCCCUGUGUCGGGGGUGCUGCUCUCCGAGUGGAGCCAGAACACGAUGAAGGAGCUACACCUGGCCAUCCCCGCUGAGAUCACCCACGAGAAGCUGGAGCAAGUGGCAGGAGCCGUGUACCAGAGGAUGGACCAGCUGUACCAGGGGAAGAUGUACUUCCCAGGGUAUUUUCCCAAUGAGCUGCGGGCCAUCUUCCGGGAGCAAGUGCGCCUCAUCCAGAACGCCAUCAUAGAAAGCCGCAUCGACUGUCAGCGUCACUGUGGCAUCUACCGGUAUGAGACCAUCUCCUGCAUCAACUGCACAGACUCACAAGGCAUCUGCUUUGGCUACUACUGCAAGACAUCGGCACAGUGGAGGUCAGCUGUACAGGGCCUUCUGAGUUACAUACAUACCUGGCACAAGGCUACCCCAAGUUGGUGGCAGACCUGGAGGGUCUAACUGGAGUCCCAUUCUAUUUCAGACAGGAUGUAGGCACCAGAAUCAUCCCAGCCUUCCUUUCACAUACCAUAAAGUGUCUGGAACCACAGCACCUGAUCCACCUGACCUUGGAGAAUGCCUCUGAGUGUCUGACCCAGCACUGACAGAGGCUGCCCGCCUGCAGCCGCGAGGGGGCUCAACCACACUGUUGCAGACUGUUCCCCUGGGAGAGGCUUGCCACUGCCUGCCGUGGGUGGGUCACCUCCCCCCACUCCCAUGGAGCCCGGGCUGGGCCGGGGCAGGGGAGGGCAAGGAGAAGGGCUCGUGUAUAGAGAGUGGCCCCCCUACCCCCGGCAGGGCCCUCAGGGAUAUUUUGAUUAAAGUGCCCUGACAUUUCUCA